GAACACGCAAGAACCAGAGACCUGAUGAAGAGCAGCUUCACCUGCAGAAUACAUGAUGAGAAACAGACAGACACACACUCAGAGACAGCCACACAAAUUUGGGUGGAUGUCUGGUGAUUUCUUUGAAGUGUUAUCCCUCCGUCUGCGGGAAUGACUUCCAUAUGUCACCUAAAAGACCACCCAGAGUCCAUUACGUGCAGUGAACUGAAGUGAGGUGUGCAGACGAUCAAUAACUCGGACAAUCGCUCAACCUGACGUGUGCAUGACCUCAGAAACCCGAGAGCUUGAUCCCUGUAAGAGCUGCUGAACUCCUGGUAAGUUAGUGACUGAGUGCGCAACACUUAAGCUGUGAAAUGAAAGGAAACAGUAU
rnacentral:lncRNA from 12 species